rfam:Triticum aestivum genome assembly, contig: Triticum_aestivum_CS42_TGACv1_scaffold_499715_6BL
AAUAUACUCCCUCCGUUCCUAAAUACUUGUCUUUCUACAUAUUUCAAAUGACUACUACAUACGGAUGUAUGUAGACAUAUUUUAAAGUGUAGAUUCACUCAUUUUGCUCCGUAUGUAGUCACUUGUUGAAAUGCCUAGGAAGACAAGUAUUUAGGAACGGAGGGAGUAUGUU